rnacentral:rRNA from 1 species
UACGGAGGAUGCAAGCGUUAUCCGGAAUGAUUGGGCGUAAAGCGUCCGCAGGUGGCUGUUCAAGUCGAUUGUCAAAGAUAGGGGCUCAACUCUUAAACGGCAGUGGAAACUGAACGGCUAGAGUGCGGUAGGGGUGGAGGGAAUUCCCGGUGUAGCGGUGGAAUGCGUAGAGAUCGGGAAGAACACCAGUGGCGAAAGCGGUCUACUAAGACGGAACUGACACUCAGGGACGAAAGCUAGGGGAGCGAAUGGG